AGUUUCUCUCUAACUCCUCCCACUGAGAUGACCCAUAGUACCCCAUUCCUUGCUGCAAUGUAAUUAUAUUUAAUUACAAGUGUGCCCCUGGUAGUCUUUAACUGAAGGGCACUGACUGGGUCACUGGUGAAGUUCCCCGCAGGAACUGAGUCAGACCCCAUCUCAGGGCCCUGCACAAGAUAGGUGCCUGCUCUAAGGCGUGGACCCUCGCCACAGCCCUGGCCCGUCUUGACGGGCGAGGGUUACUGUACUUGUCCCAACCGUACAGAUGAGAAAGCUGAGACUCAGGGCCAGCAACCCGGGUCCCAGCGGAGCGCCCGGCACACGCCGACACUUCAGCACCAGUGGCGGUGGCCACCACUGUGGGCGGAGAUGGCUGCGACGCGUGCGCAGAUCUCGAUCCCAAACUCCCUCCUGCCAGAAUCUGGACCCGAAUCCACCCAUUGCCCGUUUUCCGCUGCCGCUGGAGAGAAUCUCUGAGGUCCCCAGGAGAGCCUGCCUGCACGGAAGAGACGCCUCCUCGGGAAAUUUGUGCACAGAGAUAACACAGGGGAUAUGCCAUAUGAAGAUGAAGGCAGAAUUCUACAAGCCCAGGGAUGCCAAAGAUUGCCAGCAAACCACCAGAAGCUAGGAGAGAAGUGUGGAUUAGAUUCUUCCUCACAGCCCUCAGAAGGAUCCAGCCCUGCCAAGAACUUGAUCUCAGACUUCUAGUCUCCAGAACUGUGAGACAGUGCAUUUUGUUUUGUAAGUCAGCCAUAUGGUUUGUGGCACUUUUUUAUGGCAGCCCUAGGAGAUGAAGACAAUAUGCAACAUGGUAUGUCCAUUAUAGGACACUGUGGGCCAUAAAUGUGUUCUUUGGCCUGAAGAAAUAAAACUUGGUGGUCCAAGUUGAUGUCUUAUCA
rnacentral:lncRNA from 1 species